CCAGAAACCCUAAUCCAAUCUCGGUUCCCUUCAUCCCGUCGUCGGCCCUCAGGGAUGCCGCUCGCAUUGCCAGACGUUGCGAUGAUCCGACCACGGCCUUCCAAGACGGUGCAACUGCGACUCCCCGCCGACGAUGACGCUACCCGUCUCCCCCUCGCUUCACAAAUCUUCUCGUUCGCUGAGAAAUCAUUUAAGUUGGUAUUUACUGUCAUCCCGGACUUGAGCGACACCUGAGAUGCCAUGAACAUGUACUCGAUUUCAUAUAUUUUAUGGAGCUGUUACUGAAGAAAAGUUAGAUAGCCAA